rnacentral:rRNA from 1 species
UACGGAGGAGGCAAGCGUUAUCCGGAAUUAUUGGGCGUAAAGCGUCCGUAGGUGGUUGGCCAAGUCUGCUGUCAAAGGGUGGGGCUUAACCUCAUAAAGGCAGUGGAAACUGGCGAGCUAGAGUGCGGUAGGGGUAGGGGGAAUUCCCAGUGUAGCGGUGAAAUGCGUAGGGAUUGGGAAGAACAUCGGUGGGGCAAGCGCCCUGCUGGGCCUGCACUGACACUGAGGGACGAAAGCUAGGGGAGCGAAAGGG